rnacentral:rRNA from 1 species
ACUGCUCAGUAACACGUGGAUAACCUGCCCUCAGGUCCGGCAUAACCUCGGGAAACUGAGGAUAAUUCCGGAUAUCUCUUCUCUGCCGGAAUCGCUUGAAGAGACAAAGAAUUUCGCCUGAGGAUGGGUCUGCGGCCUAUCAGGUCGUAGGGGGUGUAACGUACCCUCUAGCCGACAACGGGUACGGGUUGUGAGAGCAAGAGCCCGGAGAUGGAUUCUGAGACAUGAAUCCAGGCCCUACGGGGCGCAGCAGGCGCGAAAACUUUACAAUGCAGGAAACUGUGAUAAGGAGACACCGAGUGCCCGCAUCAAAUGCGGGCUGUCCGCAUACUUAAAUCGUAUGCGUUAGCAAGGGCCGGGCAAGACCGGUGCCAGCCGCCGCGGUAAUACCGGUGGCCCGAGUGGUAGCCGCUUUUAUUGGGUCUAAAGGGUCCGUAGCCUGUUCGGUCAGUCCAUUGGGAAAUCCGGAUGCUCAACAUCCGGGCUUCCAGUGGAUACUGCCUGACUUGGGAUCGGGGGAGGUAAGAGGUACUACAGGGGUAGGAGUGAAAUCUUGUAAUCCUUGUGGGACCACCUGUGGCGAAGGCGUCUUACCAAAACGAGUCCGACGGUGAGGGACGAAAGCUGGGGGCACGAACCGGAUUAGAUACCCGGGUAGUCCCAGCCGUAAACGAUGCUCGCUAGGUGUCAGGCAUGGCGUGACUGUGUCUGGUGCCGAAGGGAAGCCGUGAAGCGAGCCACCUGGGAAGUACGGCCGCAAGGCUGAAACUUAAAGGAAUUGGCGGGGGAG